rnacentral:rRNA from 1 species
ACUCCUACGGGAGGCAGCAGUGGGGAAUAUUGCACAAUGGGCGCAAGCCUGAUGCAGCGACGCCGCGUGAGGGAUGACGGCCUUCGGGUUGUAAACCUCUUUCGACCCUGACGAAGCGCAAGUGACGGUAGGGGGAGAAGAAGCACCGGCCAACUACGUGCCAGCAGCCGCGGUAAGACGUAGGGUGCGAGCGUUGUCCGGAUUUAUUGGGCGUAAAGAGCUCGUAGGCGGCUCGUCGCGUCGACCGUGAAAACCCGCGGCUUAACUGCGGGCUUGCGGUUGAUACGGGCGGGCUAGAGUUCGGUAGGGGAGACUGGAAUUCCUGGUGUAGCGGUGAAAUGCGCAGAUAUCAGGAGGAACACCGGUGGCGAAGGCGGGUCUCUGGGCCGAUACUGACGCUGAGGAGCGAAAGCGUGGGGAGCGAACAGGAUUAGAUACCCUGGUAGCUACGAG